AUGGAUGGUCUUCUGCAUUGGGAUUUCUCCCCCGGCCUUGCGGUCGCGGAUCAGGUGCGUCGACGCUUUGGUUCUACGGUUCACUUCUCCCCCUCCGGUGGUUGCAAGGAAUUCUUUUUGGUGGUUAGCUUCUCUUCGGCCUCCUUUACUCUUAAUGAAGAAUCUGUUGCAUUGGCUCUGCAAUGCUCCAUUGGAGGUAUUCCUUCGGGAUUACAUGUUAAGCAUUUGGAUGGACGUCGUUUUCGGUUCUCGGUUGCCUCUAAUCGGGUUGGUCAUUUCAUCUAUGGUCUCAAGGAUCGAGUUUGGCCGGACUUCGUAUGUCAUUUUAGUCUCUUUCGACCAGGAAUGCACUCUACCAUACAUAACCCUCUCUCUUGGCACUCGGAUCAGCAAAACCUUGAGAUCAGCACCAGAUCACCUAUUGCAUGCAAGUCCUCACAUCGUUUUACGUCUGACCGGGGUCAUGUGAUUGAGGCUUCAUCUUUGAAUGUUCUCGCGAAAGCUAGGUUUUUGGUUGAGAUUAAUGGUGUGGACAAUCUUUCGUGCUCGCCGCCGGUCACUCUCCGGCAGCCUCCGGUUGGCUGA
rnacentral:rRNA from 1 species